rnacentral:lncRNA from 1 species
AUGCUGCUGUUCUGUGAGGAGAAGGACAGGUGGCUUCUGUGGGAGCUUUCUCCCCACUCCCUGUGCUCCGGUCACCCGGCUGCCUGUGCCCACGAUGAGCCCGCUCUUUCCUGGACGGAACCUGGGACUUGCCCUCCUCUCCCUUGGCCGGGAAAUCCUACCUGGCCCUUUGGCCGAAUGACCCUCACUCGUCCCUGCGGUCUCCACUGCUUCGGUUACCUGCUGCUGCGUCGCGUGGUGGCUGAGCUCAGCGGCUUGAGGCAGCUCCUUAUCGUUGCCCGUCUCCCUUCUGAAGGGGUUUGGGAGGACUCGAUGUUGGAGGCGCAGUCAGAGAUGCUGCCAAAACAGUCCGAAGCCCUCUGCAGGAAACGAGAGCCGAUCGCCGGCGUCCAAAGCAGCAGCCAAGAUUUACGAAGCUUAAAUACCUAACCUGCCUUGAUUUAGAGGCCUUUUCGGCUGACAUUUAAUAUGUGCCUUGCCUGGUGGGCAGGUUGCUUGCAGUGUUUGGGGAAGGCUAAGUGGGAUUGGAGCAGCGAUGACCUCAUCCGGCGCUUGGCGUUCUUCGGAUCUGGUGCCAUUAUUGAACCCAGAGAGCUCGGUUUGUAUGACUCCAAGGCCAGCCCCACACUCUCUGUGGGACUUGGAAAGCCCAGUGUUUAUGCCGGGCUGGAAGGAGGUGUUUUAACUGGGGGAAUUCAGGCCCACCCAGGGAGAUCCAUGCAGACCACGUAGCAACCAUCAGUCUUAUUGUGAAAGAAAGAGACAAGCGUAGAGUUAAGCCAACUAGAGGGCAGAUCUAGGCCUAUGGGGUGGGUGUUCCGGGGAAUUAUGUUCCUUUAUGUCGAUACAGCUUGAGAUGAUGACAGCUGUCCAAAAUGGGAUGCCCUGAUUAAAGAAUUGGUCUGUCCCCAAGGGAAUUGUUCCGAGAGCUUAGAUGACCACUCGGCUGGGCACGUUGAAGGGCUUCAAACACUGGGGAGAGAUGGGGCAUUCUAAGUUAAAUCUAAGGUCCAAGAGUCAAUCAGUCCCCAAGAAAGAGGACACAGUCACCAGCUUCUGCUCAAGGGUCUCUGGGAUAUAGUAACACCUCACUUAGCUGGGGUUUCAAAUUUCGGGCACUCUUAACUAGCUGAAAAAGAACCAAGAAUUAGCAAGAAAAUACAAAGUGAUGUUGAGAAUUCUGAAGUGAUGCUACAGAGUUCAGGCAUUUUAUAACUGGGAGAGUGCCUACGGUUCUCAUUCACGACCUAAUGACUCCUACUUUAGACACAAUUCUGACAGACUUGGUUGUCUGAUUCCUCAGCUGCAACCAGUAGAGCAAAGUUCAUUUAGGAAAUUGGGGAAGAAUAUUAUAAUAUUUAAUACCAAAAUAACAAGUAGAGAAAAGUACUCAGAAGUAUGGCACUUUGAGGCCAUUUAAUGAAAGGGUAAACACUUGUACAGGCUUCGGAGUUCCUGAAGAAGGGCCAGGUGACAGGUCAUCAAUAAGAGGUUAAAUUAUGUUCAGUGGCCACUGUUAAUUAGACAGAAUGAUACACAACAUAUUUUACAGAGAUUUGUAAUAAAAGCCUGAAAGGUAGUCA